rnacentral:rRNA from 1 species
GAUGAACGCUGGCGGCGUGCCUAACACAUGCAAGUCGAGCGAGAAGUAAAGAAAUGAAGCUUCGGUAGAUUUUCAUUAUGGAAAGCGGCGGACGGGUGAGUAACGCGUAGGCAACCUGCCCUGUACAGGGGGAUAGCCACCCGAAAAGGUGAUUAAUACCCCAUGAUGCAAGAGAUACACAUGUAUCACUUGUCAAAGAUUUAUCGGUAUGGGAUGGGCCUGCGUCUGAUUAGCUAGUUGGUAGGGUAACGGCUUACCAAGGCAACGAUCAGUAGCCGACCUGAGAGGGUGAUCGGCCACAUUGGAACUGAGACACGGUCCAAACUCCUACGGGAGGCAGCAGUGGGGAAUAUUGCACAAUGGGGGAAACCCUGAUGCAGCAACGCCGCGUGAAGGAAGAAGGCCUUCGGGUUGUAAACUUCUGUCCUAGGGGAAGAAACAAAUGACAUACCCUGGA